GAUUGAACGCUGGCGGCAGGCUUAACACAUGCAAGUCGAGCGGGCGUAGCAAUACGUCAGCGGCAGACGGGUGAGUAACGCGUGGGAACAUACCUUUUGGUUCGGAACAACACAGGGAAACUUGUGCUAAUACCGGAUAAGCCCUUACGGGGAAAGAUUUAUCGCCGAAAGAUUGGCCCGCGUCUGAUUAGCUAGUUGGCGAGGUAAUGGCUCACCAAGGCGACGAUCAGUAGCNGGUCUGAGAGGAUGAUCAGCCACAUUGGGACUGAGACACGGCCCAAACUCCUACGGGAGGCAGCAGUGGGGAAUAUUGGACAAUGGGCGCAAGCCUGAUCCAGCCAU
rnacentral:rRNA from 1 species